rnacentral:tRNA from 1 species
AAGUGGAAAGCAAUAAUGCAAUCAGUUUCGACCUGAUUUUUGGUGAAAGACAUCUUCACUUU